rnacentral:rRNA from 1 species
AGCGAACGCUGGCGGCAGGCUUAACACAUGCAAGUCGAGCGCCCGUAGCAAUACGGGAGCGGCAGACGGGAGAGUAACACGUGGGAACGUGCCUUUUGGUUCGGAACAACCCAGGGAAACUUGGGCUAAUACCGGAUAAGCCCUUACGGGGAAAGAUUUAUCGCCAAAAGAUCGGCCCGCGUCUGAUUAGCUAGUUGGUGAGGUAACGGCUCACCAAGGCUACGAUCAGUAGCUGGUCUGAGAGGAUGAUCAGCCUCACUGGGACUGAGACACGGCCCAGACUCCUACGGGAGGCAGCAGUGGGGAAUAUUGGACAAUGGGCGCAAGCCUGAUCCAGCCAUGCCGCGUGGGUGAUGAAGGCCUUAGGGUUGUAAAGCCCUUUCGGCGGGGAAGAUAAUGACGGUACCCGCAGAAGAAGCCCCGG